ACCCCGGUAUUAUUACUGUUAUGGGUUUAAAUCGAGCUUAGCCUUGUUCAUUUUUUUACACAACACCCCCGUAAAAAAUACAACACGGCCCGCUCAAGCCCGCGGUACCGGAGACCGACCAGCGGAAAAAACCGCCCCAAAAGGCCGCAAAAAAGCCCCUCGAGCGCUUUUUCAGGGCAG
rfam:Pseudomonas batumici strain TCM B-321 Contig_65, whole genome shotgun sequence.